AGCGUGGAGACAGGUGGUGCAUGGCUGUCGUCAGCUCGUGUCGUGAGAUGUUGGGUUAAGUCCCGCAACGAGCGCAACCCUCACCCCUUGUUGUCAUCAGGUCAUGCUGGGCACUCUAGGGGAACUGCCCCGGUCAACGGGGAGGAAGGCGGGGAUGACGUCAAGUCAUCAUGCCCCUUACGUCCUGGGCUACACACGUGCUACAAUGGCCGGUACAAAGGGAUGCAACGCCGUGAGGCAGAGCCAAACCCAAAAAGCCGGUCUAAGUUCAGAUUGGAGUCUGCAACUCGACUCCAUGAAGGAGGAAUCGCUAGUAAUCGCGUAUCAGCACGACGCGGUGAAUACGUUCCCGGGCCUUGUACACACCGCCCGUCACACCACGAAAGCCAGCUGUACUCGAAGUCGCUGAG
rnacentral:rRNA from 1 species